rnacentral:misc_RNA from 1 species
ACUCGCCACCCAACCGCGGUAUCAGGGUGUGGAACCCAGGCUCUGUGUGGGGAGGCCAAGAGCCUGCAGCCCGGCCGCCGGGCACGGCUGCGGCCUCUUGGUGUCGGCGGACAGCGCUUGGCUGGCGCGGUGCCGAGGAGACGUGCGGCCAUGAUCGCGCUUGGACCAGCUCACGACGAGUCGCACCGACGGCUCACCACAUAUGCGCGCAGGCGCCCACCGCUUUUCUGCCUUUGCUGCCUUUGCUGCGUUGCGGUGGUGUGGAGCGUGAUCGCGGCAACGGCCCGCUCUGCAUGCACCGGAAUCGCAGUGGGCUGGACGACGCCACACGGCGUUGGUUGUCCCGUCUCCUCGACGAGUCCUCGCUGCAAGUGUGUACGCUGCAGGAGACUCACUUCUCCCCUGCAGGCCUGGAAGGCGCCUGGUCUGCACGGCGUUCAGUCUUCUCGGUGCAGCAAGAGAGAGGGAGGGAGCGCGAGUGAUGAGCGAGAGAGGAGCCCCGUAGUACAUGCCGAUUAUGCCCACAGCGCAUGCGCGCGCAGCAUGCGGCAUCUCCUCCAUCCCACCGUGCGGGCGGAUGAGGCGCCGACCGCGCGGCACGUACCCGAAGAGGGGACGAGGCGGGAGAGGAGGGGCCCGCUAGACGCAUGUCCCGAUUCGACGGCAUGACGGUUGCUCCUAGACGGCCAGGACGUCGCCGCAGCGCGGCAGUGGGUGCGUGGGCUGCAACUGUGCAUGCGUGUGACUUUGCGAGCUGCUGCGUUGUGGAUCGAAGGUUGAGAAGGAAAGUUUCUUGUGAUAAGUGAUAGAAUCACGAUGUGGUAGCCGGUGUUGCUGCGAAGCUUCCACUCUUUCAACCCGCAUUCUUCUCCCCGCGUCACUCUUCUUCCUGGGUGACUUUCACGUUGUUGGGUUGUUGUUUCCUGCCCUUUCUUCGGGGUGUUGGGGCCGCCGCCCGGGUGCGUUUAGGAGAGUCAUGCUGUUAGCCGCCCUCAGCAUCACGGGUGUCCUGUGUGCUUGCUGGUCAGGAGUUCUACUUCGUGCUUGUGUGACGUAUGUGGACAUGGGACUCGUCGUGUGGACUGAAGCUUCUUUUUUUUUCAUUUCCUACUUCUCUGUUUACAACUUUCGGGGUGUGAAUUGCCGUUCAAUGAGGGUAG